UACAGAGGGGGCAAGCGUUGUUCGGAAUUACUGGGCGUAAAGGGCGCGUAGGCGGCCUGCUAAGUCGAACGUGAAAUCCCUGGGCUCAACCCAGGAACUGCGUCCGAUACUGGUUGGCUUGAAUCCGGGAGAGGGAUGUGGAAUUCCAGGUGUAGCGGUGAAAUGCGUAGAUAUCUGGAGGAACACCGGUGGCGAAGGCGGCAUCCUGGACCAUUACUGACGCUGAGGCGCGAAAGCUAGGGGAGCAAACGGG
rnacentral:rRNA from 1 species